rnacentral:misc_RNA from 1 species
GGUUCUCUUGUUUCCUUUAUUUAAGUUUCCUAAAGAAAAGCAAAAAAGAAACUGUCCAUCAGAUCAGCAAGCCCACGAGAGAAGUACUUGACUAUUCUAUCUUAUAAAUUGAGUACUAGAAGACCCAUGUAGCAACUGUUGCUGGUCAGAUACCAUUCAUUGGACCUCAGUUCUUCACUUAUCAAUUCCUUGAAUGGAGUUCUCCCCCACUAAAUCAAAACAGAUUGGAAACCUAACAAAUCCAGUUUACAAAGUACUGAACUCAUACAUAUUAAAGAAAAGUAGUGACAAACACUUUUAAAAGUCUACAGCAGAAGUGACUUUGGUAAAUGUCCUUGCAAAAUCUAGGAAAAGCACACUUUUAAAGAGUCCUAUUCAUUAAAUAAACAUUUUUAAGGAAGGUCAGCCAACGGGAACUUUGGCAAAUAUGUCAAAC